rnacentral:rRNA from 1 species
GGAUGUAAUCAUACUAGCACUAAUGCAUCGGAUCCYAUCAUAACUCAAAAGUUAAGAGUGAUUGGAUAUGAGUACCCUGAACUAAAACAUGCUUGGACAUGAAUGACAUUAUAGGAAAUCAUCUUGUUGCACUCC